AUGCCCACCUCCUCCUCCAACCCCAGCACCGAGUUCCUCUACCUCGGCACGCUCGCCACCCCGCCGCCGGGGACUGCUCCGCCCCCCUCGCGCCCCCGCCCCGGCUCGCCCGAGCUCCGCCCGCUCCCGCCGCUGCCCCGCGUCGGCCCGCCCUCCGGCGAGUUCGGCUCCCGCAGCUCCGCGUCCGACCCCAGCACCGUGCCCCGCGCGGCCGCACUCGCCGCCGGCGACGCAUCGUCCUCGUCCCUCUCGCCUUCCUCCCCCUCGGCGUCCUCACCCACGCUCGCCUCCAGCCCCGUCCACAUCCGCCCGCCGUCCAUCCCGCAGCCCCGCGGCCGUGCCCCCAACCCGUCUCCCCCCAAACGCAGGCCGCCACCGCCACCCACACCACCAACCCAAUCGUGGAACCCCUUCGUGCCCGUCCCGCCGGCACAAGCCGCUCUCCCCUCCGACGACGACGGCGACUCCUCCUCCACCAUUGCGGCGGCGAUGCACAAGUCCCGGCCCCUGCACUCCGACAAGCUCAAGCCCGGAUCUCUGCACAUGAAGGACGAGAUGAUCCAGCUCUACCUGAACAACUCGGCGGCGGCAUCGGCGAGGGAGGUGUGCCUGCUCGGCGCGGCGCGGUGCCACGGCAUUGGGACGGUGCUGGGUGCACUGGGUUUCUCCGAGGAGCAAGUGCGUGAUGCGCUCUUGGAAGGCAAUGCACAUGGUUUGGGGGUAGAGGCCCUGCGGAUGCUCGCUCAGUUGGUUCUCACCAAUGAGGAAGAGCUUAAGCUCAGAUAUUUGAAGGAUGACCCACCUGCCAAGCUUUGCGCGGUCGAUGCUUUUCUGAAGACGAUACUGGAUGUGCCAUUUGCAUUCAAGAGAGUGGAUGCUAUGCUCUAUGUUUCUAGCUUUUAUCUGGAGGUCAAUCAGCUGAGGAUGUCCUACGCUACUCUCGAGGCAGCCUGCCAGGAGCUGAGGAGCAGCAGGCUAUGCCACAAGGUUCUUGGGGCAGUCCUCAACUUCGGCAACAUGAUGAGCAUCAACACAGGCUCUCCAAACUCACAUGCCCUGGAGCCCAACACGCUCCUGAAGAUAGUCGACGUCAAAGGGGCCGACGGCAAGGCGGCGCUCCUGCAGUUCGUCGUCCAGGAAAUCAUGAAACCCGAAGGACACAGCAAUCUGAACCCGGCAUGCAAGACGGACGCGAGCAUGAGCCCGCCGUACGACGUCGACUGCAGGAAGCACGGCCUCCAGGUGGUCUCGAAGCUCACCGCCGAGCUGACCAGCACCAAGAAGGCCGCGUGCGUCGACAUGACGGGCCUCAGCCGGAGCGUGUCGGAGCUCGGGGUCGGCCUCGGGAAGGUCCACGACGUGCUGCGGCUGAACGGCAUGGCGGCGUCGGCGGAGAGCGCCCGGCGGUUCCACAACGCGAUGAGCGCGUUCCUGCGGCAGGCCGAGGAGGAGAUCGUCAGGCUCCAGGGCCAGGAGAGCGUGUGCCUGUCGUCGGUGCGGGAGAUGGCGGAGUACUUCCACGGCGGCGAUGAGGCGGGCGACGGCGAGGCUCGCUUGAUCAGGGUCUUUGCUGGUGUCCGGGAGUUCGUGGCCAUGCUCGACCGGAUCUGUAGGGAGGCCGGGGAGGUCCAGGGCUCGACGCCGGUGAGCUGGGUGGCUGCUGGUGCGCCGCCCGUUGGGACGACGCCCUGA
rnacentral:rRNA from 1 species